rnacentral:rRNA from 1 species
AGCCGGUGGCCCAACUCUUUGAGAGGGAGCCGUCGAAGGUGGGACUGGCGAUUGGGACUAAGUCGUAACAAGGUAGCCGUACCGGAAGGUGCGGCUGGAUCACCUCCUUUCUAAGGAG